GAUGAACGCUGGCGGCGUGCCUAAUACAUGCAAGUCGAGCGAACAGACGAGGAGCUUGCUCCUCUGACGUUAGCGGCGGACGGGUGAGUAACACGUGGAUAACCUACCUAUAAUACUGGGAUAACUUCGGGAAACCGGAGCUAAUACCGGAUAAUAUAUUGAACCGCAUGGUUCAAUAGUGAAAGACGGUUUUGCUGUCACUUAUAGCUGGAUCCGCGCCGCAUUAGCUAGUUGGUAAGGUAACGGCUUACCAAGGCAACGAUGCGUAGCCGACCUGAGAGGGUGAUCGGCCACACUGGAACUGAGACACGGUCCAGACUCCUACGGGAGGCAGCAGUAGGGAAUAUUCCGCAAUGGGCGAAAGCCUGACGGAGCAACGCCGCGUGAGUGAUGAAGGUCUUCGGAUCGUAAAACUCUGUUAUUAGGGAAGAAAAAAUGUGUAAGUAAAUAUGCACGUCUUGACGGUACCUAAUCAGAAAGCCACGGCUAACUACGUG
rnacentral:rRNA from 1 species